rnacentral:rRNA from 1 species
UGCCAGCAGCCGCGGUAAUACGUAGGGGGCAAGCGUUAUCCGGAAUUACUGGGUGUAAAGGGUGCGUAGGCGGUUUAUUAGGUUAGGUGUGAAAGCCCGAGGCUCAACUUCGGGACUGCACUUAAAACUGGUAAACUAGAAUACAGGAGAGGUAAGUGGAAUUCCUAGUGUAGCGGUGAAAUGCGUAGAUAUUAGGAGGAACACCAGUGGCGAAGGCGACUUACUGGACUGUUAUUGACGCUGAGGCACGAAAGCGUGGGGAGCGAACAGGAUUAGAUA